CGGCGCCACGAGUGGGGAUCAUGUUUAUUUGGCCUAAAGCGUCCGUAGCUGGUAAGGUAAAUCUCUUGUGAAAUCGUUCAGCUUAACUGAACGGCGUGCAGGAGAGACUGCUUUGCUAGGGACCGGGAGGCGUCAGAAAUAUGCUGGGGGGAGCGGUAAAAUGCUAUAAUCCCCGGUGGAUUACCUGUGGCGAAGGCGUCUGACGAGAACGGGUCCGACAGUGAGGGACGAAAGCCAGGGGAGCAAACCGGAUUAGAUACCCGAGUAGUCC
rnacentral:rRNA from 1 species